GCACUUGUAGCUCAGACGGUAGAGCGCCGCCCUGAAGAGGCGGGCGUCGGUGGUUCAAGCCCAUCCGGGUGCACCA
rnacentral:tRNA from 1 species